rnacentral:lncRNA from 1 species
GGGAAGGUGGGGGACUGGGGAGAAGGUCCUUGUGACACAAGCAUGGGAAAUCUCUAUUCUGAAAAAAAAAAAAAAAUUCACAUAUGUCAUAGGUUUUUGCCCCCUGAUCUAUAAGAAGAAGGUUCUCGAACACAAAUCACCUGUAGUGCUUCUGAAAGCAAAGAGUUCAGGGCCCAAGAAUGUGUGUUUCUAAGAAGUUCUCAGGUGCUGAUGGCCGGUCCCCACACCGCAUCACGCUGCCUCGUAUCCGCUUCUGAGACCCUCACCACUGCACACUUCUCUUAUUGUAUUGAUUAAUAAUUUAGGAAUGUAGAAUGUCUUAGGCCUACUGUCAUACUUUCCACAUGGGACAUUCAAAAUGUAAAUAACUCUGUUCAUAACUAAAAUAUAUUCCUAGAGGCAUUCUCAUAGCUAGAUUCAGUCUUCUAAACUUUCUCAACUGUAAAAUGGGAAUGAAGCUUACAGGGUUAUUCCUGUAAUUAUCUAACUUAGGUUUAUAGAAACAUGAGGGAUAAAGCAAAUCAUUGUAAAAUAAAUCCUGUUAUCUCCAUAGAAACAUUACUUUAGGAUUGCUUUCUUGAACAUGGACUCAAAAAAAAACUGUGCAAUCAAAAGCAUGUUAUGAAAACAACGUCCAAAGAAUCCUAAGUCUAAAAGUAACACAAGCGUGAUCUGUGUCCUAUAAUAUGGGUAUACCCUGCAGCUCUACACAAUGCAAAUGUUUUGCUAAUAAGCCUAAACAAAAUGAAGUGCGGAGAGCAUAUGAUGAAUUCCACGCCAUCAUAAACUUGACCUUGCAUUAUGGCACCUGACAUGCUUGUCAGCCUAACCCUCAACAGGCACGAUGUUUGCUCCCUACAUUUUUGCAGGUUUGGGAGUGGGAGUAAGAUGAUUUGGGUAACCAAGUGCCAACUAUCUAGGAAGACUGGCAUUGAGGUCUUCUCUAUCUCACGAUGCAUUUAUUUCUACAAGGGAUUUCACAAUAAUCCCAUUGCUUGUAAAAUUGCACUCACAAUUAUUUCAAAAACAGCCAGUUUCACAUUUUAAUAUUUGAAUACUUGUCUGGCGUUUGGGGCAUGGCUGUCUCGUGAAUGUCCUUCCUCUUCACUUUUUUCCCUCUUUCCUCACCUUCCACACCCCAGGACACUUUGUGUGGUCUUAAAGCAGCAGCAGUUGCAUUUCCCCUGUGCUUCAGUUGUGUGUGUUGGAUCAAGAGCUUUGUUGACAGGCAAUUGUAGGAUGUAACUUCUGGGCAGCUGGUGUUUUUAGCCUUUUUUCUUCCCUUGACCUUGUCAGUUUAGGAGUGGAUGCAUCUAGAUGUGGGAAGCCAUCUAGAGGUCUCUGAACAUGUGUGAUAGUAAGUAGGUAGCGAUGUUUCUGCAGCUGCUCACCACCCACCCAGGGAACCCUGGACCUGGUGGAGGUAAGAGGAAGACAGAAAGCAAAGCAACGCCUGCAGCAUACCCCAACCCUAACCCUAGCCCUGCCCAGCCCUGCAGCCCACAUGGGCUUCAUUCUCACACCAGUGCAGAAAGGCAAGUUUUAUUACCUCUACUUUAUGGGAAACUGAGGCUCAGAAAAGUGGAGUCUUGUUCGGGGUCACCCAGAUGGAACCUGGAUUGAGACCUAGGUCUCACCUGCCUGAUUUUCACCGUAGAAAGUCAGAACUACCUAGAGAAUGAAAUCAGUAAAAUACCUAGGAACAAGGUGUUUGUUCCCCAGCAUUUCAGCUGGGAGCUAUUUCCCUGCACAGAUAGGCUAGUGAGUUUUAUCUAUGCUGAAUUAUCCUGUGGUUCCACCAAGGUGACAUGUAGUCUAAGCUGCUUUAGGUGUACAUUAUUAAAAACGAGAGCCUAACAGUCAACAACAGUGGACUGCUUCCUAGUAAAUCUGGGUGACUAACUUUGCCUGUGCCCAAUGUUAACCCUCGAGGUAACACUAAGUGUUGAUAAUCACACAGACAUUAUCAAAGUGUCCAGUCAUCCCAGUGGCUGGAAAUCGGAUCUAGAACUGAAUACCAACUGAGACCGCGGAAGUCUCAGCGGUCCUGAUGGAAUCUGAAAGUCUGUCCCUCCCACAGCUCUAGCUCAGUUCUUCCUCCCUCUCUUUCCUUUUCUAUUAGUUUACAAAAGGCUUCUUUAAUUACCCAAGAGAUGCUUCAGAGUCAGCUGACUUUCCUUGCAGCAUUUCACAUGUUUACCCAAUUUUUCUCUGGCUCUCUCAAUUUGAUUAAUUGCAAAAAAUGAAAUAAAAA